UACGUAGGGGGCGAGCGUUACCCGGAAUCACUGGGCGUAAAGGGAGCGUAGGUGGCGUAACAUGUCAACUGUGAAAACCCGGAGCUCAACUCCGGACUUGCAGUUGAAACUGGUAGGCUUGAGGACGGUAGAGGAAGACGGAACUGCCAGUGUAGGGGUAAAAUGCUUAGAUAUUGGCAGGAACGCCGGUGGCGAAGGUGGUUUUCUGGGCCGGUUCUGACACUGAUGCUCGAAAGCGAGGGGAGCGAACGGG
rnacentral:rRNA from 1 species